UACAGAGGGGGCGAACGUUGAUCGGAUUUACUGGGCGUAAAGAGUGCGUAGGCGGCUUUGUAAGUCGGAUGUGAAAUCCCCGAGCUUAACUUGGGAAUUGCAUUCGAUACUGGGAAGCUAGAGUAUGGGAGAGGAUGGUAGAAUUCCAGGUGUAGCGGUGAAAUGCGUAGAGAUCUGGAGGAAUACCGAUGGCGAAGGCAGCGAUCUGGCCCAAUCCUGACGCUGAGGUACGAAAGCAUGGGGAGCAAACAGG
rnacentral:misc_RNA from 1 species